rnacentral:rRNA from 1 species
AUUGAACGCUGGCGGCAGGCUUAACACAUGCAAGUCGAGCGAGCGGCGGACGGGUGAGUAAUGUCUGGGAAACUGCCUGAUGGAGGGGGAUAACUACUGGAAACGGUAGCUAAUACCGUAUACCAUCAGAUGAGCCCAAGUGGGAUUAGGUAGUUGGUGAGGUAAAGGCUCACCAAGCCGACGAUCUCUAGCUGGUCUGAGAGGAUGACCAGCCACACUGGGACGGCGACACGGCCCAGACUCCUACGGGAGGCAGCAGUGGGGAAUAUUGCGCAAUGGGGGCAACCCUGACGAAGCCAUGCCGCGUGUAUGAAGAAGGCCUUAGGGUUGUAAAGUACUUUCAGCGGGGAGGCGUUACCCGCAGAAGAAGCACCGGCUAACUCCGUGCCAGCAGCCGCGGUAAUAC